rnacentral:rRNA from 1 species
UACGUAGGGUGCGAGCGUUGUCCGGAAUUACUGGGCGUAAAGAGCUCGUAGGUGGUUUGUCGCGUUGUCCGUGAAAACUCACAACUCAAUUGUGGGCGUGCGGGCGAUACGGGCAGACUGGAGUACUGCAGGGGGAGACUGGAAUUCCUGGUGUAGCGGUGGAAUGCGCAGAUAUCAGGAGGAACACCGGUGGCGAAGGCGGGUCUCUGGGCCGAUACUGACGCUGAGGAGCGAAAGCGUGGGGAGCAAACAGG